AAAUUGAAGAGUUUGAUCAUGGCUCAGAUUGAACGCUGGCGGCAGGCCUAACACAUGCAAGUCGAACGGUAACAGGAAGCAGCUUGCUGCUUCGCUGACGAGUGGCGGACGGGUGAGUAAUGUCUGGGAAACUGCCUGAUGGAGGGGGAUAACUACUGGAAACGGUGGCUAAUACCGCAUAACGUCGCAAGACCAAAGAGGGGGACCUUCGGGCCUCUUGCCAUCAGAUGUGCCCAGAUGGGAUUAGCUUGUUGGUGAGGUAACGGCUCACCAAGGCGACGAUCCCUAGCUGGUCUGAGAGGAUGACCAGCCACACUGGAACUGAGACACGGUCCAGACUCCUACGGGAGGCAGCAGUGGGGAAUAUUGCACAAUGGGCGCAAGCCUGAUGCAGCCAUGCCGCGUGUAUGAAGAAGGCCUUCGGGUUGUAAAGUACUUUCAGCGGGGAGGAAGGUGUUGUGGUUAAUAACCGCAGCAAUUGACGUUACCCGCAGAAGAAGCACCGGCUAACUCCGUGCCAGCAGCCGCGGUAAUACGGAGGGUGCAAGCGUUAAUCGGAAUUACUGGGCGUAAAGCGCACGCAGGCGGUCUGUCAAGUCGGAUGUGAAAUCCCCGGGCUCAACCUGGGAACUGCAUUCGAAACUGGCAGGCUUGAGUCUUGUAGAGGGGGGUAGAAUUCCAGGUGUAGCGGUGAAAUGCGUAGAGAUCUGGAGGAAUACCGGUGGCGAAGGCGGCCCCCUGGACAAAGACUGACGCUCAGGUGCGAAAGCGUGGGGAGCAAACAGGAUUAGAUACCCUGGUAGUCCACGCCGUAAACGAUGUCUACUUGGAGGUUGUGCCCUUGAGGCGUGGCUUCCGGAGCUAACGCGUUAAGUAGACCGCCUGGGGAGUACGGCCGCAAGGUUAAAACUCAAAUGAAUUGACGGGGGCCCGCACAAGCGGUGGAGCAUGUGGUUUAAUUCGAUGCAACGCGAAGAACCUUACCUGGUCUUGACAUCCACGGAACUUUCCAGAGAUGGAUUGGUGCCUUCGGGAACCGUGAGACAGGUGCUGCAUGGCUGUCGUCAGCUCGUGUUGUGAAAUGUUGGGUUAAGUCCCGCAACGAGCGCAACCCUUAUCCUUUGUUGCCAGCGGUCCGGCCGGGAACUCAAAGGAGACUGCCAGUGAUAAACUGGAGGAAGGUGGGGAUGACGUCAAGUCAUCAUGGCCCUUACGACCAGGGCUACACACGUGCUACAAUGGCGCAUACAAAGAGAAGCGACCUCGCGAGAGCAAGCGGACCUCAUAAAGUGCGUCGUAGUCCGGAUUGGAGUCUGCAACUCGACUCCAUGAAGUCGGAAUCGCUAGUAAUCGUGGAUCAGAAUGCCACGGUGAAUACGUUCCCGGGCCUUGUACACACCGCCCGUCACACCAUGGGAGUGGGUUGCAAAAGAAGUAGGUAGCUUAACCUUCGGGAGGGCGCUUACCACUUUGUGAUUCAUGACUGGGGUGAAGUCGUAACAAGGUAACCGUAGGGGAACCUGCGGUUGGAUCACCUCCUUACCU
rnacentral:rRNA from 1 species